CGCGGGGUAGAGAAGUGGUAUCUCGCAAGGCUCAUAACCUUGAGACCUGGGUUCAAAUCCCAGCCCCGCUA
rnacentral:tRNA from 1 species